GACGAACGCUGGCGGCGUGCCUAAUACAUGCAAGUCGAGCGGACCUCUUCGGAGGUCAGCGGCGGACGGGUGAGUAACACGUGGGCAACCUGCCUGUAAGACUGGGAUAACACCGGGAAACCGGUGCUAAUACCGGAUAAUCCUUUUCCUCACAUGAGGGGAAGCUGAAAGACGGUUGCGGCUGUCACUUACAGCUGGGCCCGCGGCGCAUUUGCUAGUUGGUGGGGUAACGGCCCACGAAGGCGACGAUGCGGAGCAGACCUGGGAGGGUGAUCGGCCACACUGGGACUGAGACACGGCCCAGACUCCUACGGGAGGCAGCAGUAGGGAAUCUUCCGCAAUGGACGAAAGUCUGACGGAGCAACGCCGCGUGAGCGAAGAAGGCCUUCGGGUCGUAAAGCUCUGUUGUCAGGGAAGAACACGUACCGGAGUAACUGCCGGUACCUUGACGGUACCUGACCAGAAAGCCACGGCUAACUACGUGCCAGCAGCCGCCGUAACAC
rnacentral:rRNA from 1 species